CCUACGGGUGGCAGCAGUGGGGAAUAUUGGGCAAUGGAGGCAACUCUGACCCAGCAACGCCGCGUGAAUGAUGAAGGUUCUCGGAUUGUAAAGUUGUUUUCUUAGGGAAGAAGAAAGAGAUGGUACCUUAGGAAUAAACCUCGGCUAAAUACGUGCCAGCAGCCGCGGCAAGACGGAGGAGGCAAGCGUUAUCCGGAUUGACUGGGUGUAAAGGGUGCGUAGGUGGUUUGACAAGUUAGUAGGGCAACCACGGUGCUCAACUUCGGAACUACUACUAAUACUGUUCGGCUAGAGUGCAGGUGCGGUAAUCGGAAUGUAUAGUGUAGCGGUGAAAUGCGUAGAUAUUAUACGGAACACCAGUGGCGAAGGCAGAUUACCAGGCUGUAACUGACGUUGAGGCACGAAAGCGUGGGGAGCAAACAGGAUUAGAUACCCUUGUAGUC
rnacentral:rRNA from 1 species